rnacentral:rRNA from 1 species
UGAUGGCGUGCCUUUUGUAGAAUGAACCGGCGAGUUACGAUUUGAUGCAAGGUUAAGCAGUAAAUGUGGAGCCGUAGCGAAAGCGAGUCUGAAUAGGGCGUUUAGUAUUUGGUCGUAGACCCGAAACCAGGUGAUCUACCCUUGGUCAGGUUGAAGUUCAGGUAACACUGAAUGGAGGACCGAACCGACUUACGUUGAAAAGUGAGCGGAUGAACUGAGGGUAGCGGAGAAAUUCCAAUCGAACCUGGAGAUAGCUGGUUCUCUCCGAAAUAGCUUUAGGGCUAGCCUCAAGUGAUGAUUAUUGGAGGUAGAGCACUGUUUGGACGAGGGGCCCCUCUCGGGUUACCGAAUUCAGACAAACUCCGAAUGCCAAUUAAUUUAACUUGGGAGUCAGAACAUGGGUGAUAAGGUCCGUGUUCGAAAGGGAAACAGCCCAGACCACCAGCUAAGGUCCCAAAAUAUAUGUUAAGUGGAAAAGGAUGUGGCGUUGCCCAGACAACUAGGAUGUUGGCUUAGAAGCAGCCAUCAUUUAAAGAGUGCGUAAUAGCUCACUAGUCGAGUGACACUGCGCCGAAAAUGUACCGGGGCUAAACAUAUUACCGAAGCUGUGGAUUGUCCUUUGGACAAUGGUAGGAGAGCGUUCUAAGGGCGUUGAAGCAUGAUCGUAAGGACAUGUGGAGCGCUUAGAAGUGAGAAUGCCGGUGUGAGUAGCGAAAGACGGGUGAGAAUCCCGUCCACCGAUUGACUAAGGUUUCCAGAGGAAGGCUCGUCCGCUCUGGGUUAGUCGGGUCCUAAGCUGAGGCCGACAGGCGUAGGCGAUGGAUAACAGGUUGAUAUUCCUGUACCACCUAUAAUCGUUUUAAUCGAUGGGGGGACGCAGUAGGAUAGGCGAAGCGUGCGAUUGGAUUGCACGUCUAAGCAGUAAGGCUGAGUAUUAGGCAAAUCCGGUACUCGUUAAGGCUGAGC